AGCCACCCCCCAGGGUACCCCUUCCCUUCCUGGCUUAAAGUCAGGAACCAGAUGUGCUAUUAUUGUACCCUUUUCCCUUGGCCUAAAGCAGUCUAGGGCUCUUCACUAUCUCUCUCUCUUUUCUUUCUUUCUUCAUGGAAUCUCUCUCUCGCCCAGGCGACAGUGAGACUCCAUCAUCUCAAAAAAAUUUAAAAAUAAAAACCUUCGGCCACUGCUUCCUGGAGUCCUCGCCAUACUUGUCCUUGGCGUGCACUGCCCUCUGGCAGGUCUACCAGCUGCUGUGGAACCCUCACAUUGAAAGUCUCUCCCUCUAUUGAGGUGGUUGGGAUUUCUUCAGCUUCACCCCAUCCCACUAUUCCUAUUCUAGAAUGUUCUUGUUUUACGAGGUCUCAGGCCAGGCCUGGAGCAGGAACCAGAGGGCAGUAAGUGGCUCCUGGGCUGGUGACUGAGCUGAGGUCUGUGCUCCCCACCCCUGCAGCGCAAGCACCAGGAAAUCCGAGCCAUGAGAAGUCAGCUCAAAAAGAUCGAGGACCUGGGGGCCGCCAUGGAGGAGGCCCUCAUCCUGGACAACAAGUACACGGAGCACAGCACCGUGGGCCUCGCCCAGCAGUGGGACCAGCUGGACCAGCUGGGCAUGCGCAUGCAGCACAACCUGGAGCAGCAGAUCCAGGCCAGGAACACAACAGGUGUGACUGAGGAGGCCCUCAAAGAAUUCAGCAUGAUGUUUAAACACUUUGACAAGGACAAGUCUGGCAGGCUGAACCAUCAGGAGUUCAAAUCUUGCCUGCGCUCCCUGGGCUAUGACCUGCCCAUGGUGGAGGAAGGGGAACCUGACCCUGAGUUCGAGGCAAUCCUGGACACGGUGGAUCCGAACAGAGAUGGCCAUGUCUCCCUGCAAGAAUACAUGGCUUUCAUGAUCAGCCGCGAAACUGAGAACGUCAAGUCCAGCGAGGAGAUUGAGAGCGCCUUCCGGGCCCUCAGCUCAGAGGGAAAGCCUUACGUGACCAAGGAGGAGCUCUACCAGAACCUGACCCGGGAACAAGCCGACUACUGCGUCUCCCACAUGAAGCCCUACGUGGACGGCAAGGGCCGCGAGCUCCCCACCGCGUUCGACUACGUGGAGUUCACCCGCUCGCUUUUCGUGAACUGAGCCACUCCCUGGGUCACCCACCCCUCGCUGCUUGCCCUGCGUCGCCUUGCUGCAUGUCCGCUCCUCUGUGUGCUCUCACUUUCCACUGUAACCUUAAGCCUGCUUAGCUUGGAAUAAGACUUAGGAGAAAAUGGUGCUUCACUAACCCGCUUCCGGUCCAGUCACAAUCAUCACGUCACUGUGGGGACCCAGAUCUGUGUCUUGAAGCAGCUGCCCUCAUUCCGACUUCAGAAAAUCGAAGCAUCUGGCUCCUCCCCUUGUUCUCUCUCCCACCCUCCCGCAAAUCUGUUUUCAUGUAAAAGACAAAUAAAUGA
rnacentral:sRNA from 1 species